AGUAGGCUAUAUCUCCAAUGAGCUGGAGUCAGAACGGGCUCCGGAUGACCAGGCAUGCUGCUUGAUUACCAGUUUUAUGUCAAAUGUGGUUAAAGCAUUAUUCAGCUAAAUUUACUUUUUAAAUUAAUUUGAUUAAAUUAAUCAACGUUUGCAAGGAGUUUCUGAGGGGUCAUCCACUCUGCCGAAAAUAAGCCAUACCGAAAAUACCUUCAGAUAUAGGUCCUAACACCACGUGGAUCCGGGAUAAUGAAUCCGGAAGUACGAUUAUCUACUCGUUAUGAUGUUCAUUUUGUGGGGCCCAGGCCCAGCAGCAAUAUUUUAAAUUGUAAAUUGCAACUCUAAGGAUCCAUUGGAAGCAUAGCAGGUUGAAGCCCAGCAGUCGACGAUUCAGAACACGAGAGGAGAUUUGACCUGAGCCAAGUUCCAUAUAAUGGGGGAUGUCAGAAACAGGCCGCGAAGUUGGCGUCCCAAGAAGACGACACCCCAAGAAGACCAUUUCAUCACCCUGUCAGCACUUAGUCUUCUACAGAUUUGCAGUCAAGGUUUGCAGGACGAUAUGGCCGACGGCUCUCUGCCCAGACAAUCCGGAAUACACUACACACAGCCAAUACCCGGUCUCAUAGGGCUUUAGGAAGUCCUGCCAUGACUGCCCUUCCCCGUCAGGCCCGUUUGCGCUGGUGUCUGCACCACGUGCACUGGAACCUGAACAUGUGGAGGAACGUUAUGUUCAUUGAUGAGUCUAGAUUCUGCCUACGGCAGUUGGAUCGUAGGGUCAAAGUGUGGAGAAGACGUGGAGAACGCUAUGCUGAUUGCUGCACCGAUACGAUAACAUAUUUUGGUGGAGGCAGUGUGAUGGUGUGGGGCGGCAGCUCCCUCACUGGAAAAUCUCUGCAUUGAGAUUGGAGGCAAUCUCAAUGCAGAGAGAUAUAGAGAUGAGAUUCUGCAACCAGUGGCAAUCCCAUAUCUCCACAGUCUGGGACCGAACUCUAUCCUCUAAGAUGACAACGCUCGCCCCCACAGGGCGGGGUUGAUCAGAGACUACCUCCAGAAUGUGGGAGUGGAGAGGAUGGAAUGGCCUGCUAGCAGUCCUGAACUCAACCCCAUUGAAAACUUGUGGGAUCAGCUUAGGCGUGCUGUUCGUGCCAGAGUGACCAACACAACCACGUUGGCUGACUUGUGACAAAUACUGGUUGAAGAAUGGGAUGUCAUCUCACAGCAGUGUAUGACCAAAUACUGGUUGAAGAAUGGGAUGCCAUCUCACAGCAGUGUAUGACCAGGCUGGUGACCAACAUGAGGAGGAGGUGCCAGGCUGUUGUGGCUGUGUAUGGUUCUUCCACACACUACUGAGGCUCCUGUUUGUGAAAUGAAUAAAUUGUUAAAUUGGCAAUAUGUCUUGUUUCCUCAAACUUCAAUCAUCCAAUCCACCAAACGAGUCAAUGGCAGAAUGACCUGUUUGGCAAUGGCAGAAAAGAUUUGGCAAAUUUUUCAUGGGCGCAACCCACAUACUCAGCGCUGCUGCUCAUCCCACAAAUGCAUGUUCCUUACAAAUGGGGCACCAUUUGAAAGGGAAAUAAACAGGCUUUCUAACGGUAUAAGAUUUAUUGCCAAAAAGCAGUGUUACCACAGAGAAAUAAUCAACCAAACACAAAUUUCCUUACUUUUUGUGCUAAUAUAUAUACUGUAUAUAUUUAAAUUAGUGCUGUCAAGCGAUUAAAAUAAUUAAUUAAUUAAAUAAUUAAUGUCAUAG